AAGAAUUUAAAGGUCGAACAGACCUAAAAUUUUGAACUUCUACACCCAAAUUUAUCUCUUAAUCCAACAUCGAGGUCGCAAUCCUUUUUGUCGAUAUGAACUCUCAAAAAAAAUUACGCUGUUAUCCCUAAGGUAACUUAGUCUUAUAAUCUAUAAUAUAGGAUCAAAAACUCACUUAUUAGUGUAAAAUAAAAAAAAGAGUUAAUUUAAUCUUCCUAUCACCCCAAUAAAAUACUUAUACUAAUAAAAUUAAAAUAAAACUAAAAAAAUUUUAUUAAUAUUAAUAUAAAGCUCUAUAGGGUCUUCUCGUCCUUUAAUAAAAUUUAAGCUUUUUAACUCAAAAAUUAAACUCUAAUAAUAAUUAAAAUGAGACAGUUAAUACUUCGUUCAAUCAUUCAUUCCAGCCCUCAAUUAAAAGACUAAUGAUUAUGCUACCUUUGCACGGUCAAAAUACCGCGGCCCUUUAAAUUCAUUCAGUGGGCAGAUUAGACUUUAAAUUAUUUUCAAAAAGAC
rnacentral:rRNA from 1 species